rnacentral:pre_miRNA from 11 species
GCCAAUGUCAGAGAAAGGAUUCUGCUGUCGGUCCCACUCCACAGUUUACAAAACGGGUGGUGCGCACAGAAUCCAGACUCUGCUUGUGGC